GAGUUUGAUCAUGGCUCAGAUUGAACGCUGGCGGCAGGCCUAACACAUGCGAGUCGAGGCGGUAACAGAAAGUAGCUUGCUAGUUUGCUGACGAGCGGCGGACGGGUGAGUAAUGCUUGGGAACAUGCCUUGAGGGUGGGGGACAACAGUUGGAAACGACUGCUAAUACCGCAUAAUGUCUACGGACCAAAGGGGGCUUCGGCUCUCGCCUUUAGAUUGGCCCAAGUGGGGAUUAGCUAGUUGGUGAGGUAAUGGCUCACCAAGGCAACGAUCCCUAGCUGGUUUGAGAGGAUGAUCAGCCACACUGGAACUGAGACACGGUCCAGACUCCUACGGGAGGCAGCAGUGGGGAAUAUUGCACAAUGGGCGAAAGCCUGAUGCAGCCAUGCCGCGUGNGUGAAGAAGGCCUUCGGGUUGUAAAGCACUUUCAGUCAGGAGGA
rnacentral:rRNA from 1 species